UACGAAGGGGGCUAGCGUUGUUCGGAAUUACUGGGCGUAAAGCGCACGUAGGCGGAUUGUUAAGUCAGAGGUGAAAUCCCGGAGCUCAACUUCGGAACUGCCUUUGAUACUGGCAAUCUAGAGUCCGGAAGAGGUUAGUGGAAUUCCCAGUGUAGAGGUGAAAUUCGUAGAUAUUGGGAAGAACACCAGUGGCGAAGGCGGCUAACUGGUCCGAUACUGACGCUGAGGUGCGAAAGCGUGGGGAGCAAACAGG
rnacentral:rRNA from 1 species